rnacentral:rRNA from 1 species
AGAGUUUGAUUCUGGCUCAGGAUGAACGCUGGCGGCGUGCCUAAUACAUGCAAGUAGAACGCUGAAGCUUGGUGCUUGCACCGAGCGGAUGAGUUGCGAACGGGUGAGUAACGCGUAGGUAACCUGCCUGGUAGCGGGGGAUAACUAUUGGAAACGAUAGCUAAUACCGCAUAACAGUAGAUAUUGCAUGAUAUCUGCUUGAAAGGUGCAAUUGCAUCACUACCAGAUGGACCUGCGUUGUAUUAGCUAGUUGGUGAGGUAACGGCUCACCAAGGCGACGAUACAUAGCCGACCUGAGAGGGUGAUCGGCCACACUGGGACUGAGACACGGCCCAG